rnacentral:tRNA from 1 species
UCUAAUGUGGCAGAUAAGUGCGUUGGAUUUAAGCUCCACAAAUAAAGUGCUCGGCCCUUUCCUUAGAA